GACGAACGCUGGCGGCGUGCUUAACACAUGCAAGUCGAACGGAAAGGCCCUGCUUUUGUGGGGUGCUCGAGUGGCGAACGGGUGAGUAACACGUGAGUAUCCUGCCCUUGACUUUGGGAUAACUUCAGGAAACUGGGGCUAAUACCGGGUAGGAGCUCCUGCUGCACGGGGGGGGUUGGAAAGUUUCGGCGGUUGGGGAUGGACUCGAGGCUUAUCCGCUUGUUGGUGGGGUAGUGGCUUACCAGGGCUUUGACGGGUAGCCGGCCUGAGAGGGUGGCCGGCCACAUUGGUACUGAGGGACGGCGCAGACUCCUACGGGAGGCAGCAGUGGGGAAUAUUGCACAAUGGGCGGAAGCCUGAUGCAGCAACGCCGCGUGCGGGAUGACGGCCUUCGGGUUGUAAACCGCUUUCGCCUGUGACGAAGCGUGAGUGACGGUAAUGGGUAAAGAAGCACCGGCUAACUACGUG
rnacentral:rRNA from 1 species